GUGCCUGUUUCAGCAGCACAUAUACUAAAACUGGAACGAUAACAGAGCUUAGCAGGGCCCCUGUGCCAGAAUGACACUCAAAUUCAUAAAGUGUUCCAUAUAACU
ensembl:snRNA U6 U6 spliceosomal RNA